UACGGAGGGUGCAAGCGUUAAUCGGAAUUAUUGGGCGUAAAGAGCUCGUAGGCGGUUUGUCGCGUCUGCCGUGAAAGUCCGGGGCUCAACUCCGGAUCUGCGGUGGGUACGGGCAGACUAGAGUGAUGUAGGGGAGACUGGAAUUCCUGGUGUAGCGGUGAAAUGCGUAGAUAUCGGGAGGAACACCAGUGGCGAAGGCGGCCUUCUGGCCUUAACCUGACGCUGAGGAGCGAAAGCUAGGGGAGCAAACAGG
rnacentral:rRNA from 1 species